rnacentral:rRNA from 1 species
AAUCGAACUCGGAGAUAGCUGGUUCUCCUCGAAAUAGCUUUAGGGCUAGCCUCAAGGAAGAUUGAAAUGGAGGUAGAGCACUGAAUGGUCUAGGGGCGCAUAGCGUUACCGAAACCUAUCAAACUCCGAAUGCCAUAUUCAUAUACCCUUGGGAGUCAGACUGUGGGGGAUAAGCUUCAUAGUCAAAAGGGAAACAGCCCAGACCAUCAGCUAAGGUCCCAAAAUUCUAAUUAAGUGGUAAAGGAUGUGGAGUUACACAGACAACCAGGAUGUUGGCUUAGAAGCAGCCACACAUUUAAAGAGUGCGUAAUAGCUCACUGGUCGAGUGAUUCUGCGCCGAAGAUUUCCGGGGCUCAAAUUAGAUACCGAAGCUAUGGAUUGUAAUUUAUUACAGUGGUAGAGGAGCAUUGUAUGUGGGAAGAAGGUAUACCGUAAGGAGUGCUGGACUGCAUACAAGAGAGAAUGCUGGCAUAAGUAGCGAAAGGUGAGUGAGAAUCUCACCCGUCGAAAACCUAAGGUUUCCUGAGGAAGGCUCGUCCACUCAGGGUAAGUCGGGACCUAAGCUCAGGCUGAAAAGCGUAGGCGAUGGACAACAGGUGGAAAUUCCUGUACUAGUUAAAGGCGUUUGAGAAAUGGAGUGACGCAGGAGGAUAAGUUGAGCGCGGGGUUGGAAGACCGCGUCUAAGUAAGUAGGCAGAGGAGAUAGGCAAAUCCGUUUCCUUAAUGUCGAGAUACGAUGGGGAUCGAAAAACAAGUAGAGAAGCAACUGAUUCCACACUGCCAAGAAAAGCUUCUAUCGAGCUAAUAACUACCCGUACCGCAAACCGACACAGGUAGGUGAGGAGAGAAUCCUAAGACGAGCGGAAGAACCUUUGUUAAGGAACUCGGCAAAAUGACCCCGUAACUUCGGGAGAAGGGGUGCCAGUGAAAAAUAGGGUAUACACCCGAAAGAACAACUGGCCGCAGUGAAUAGGCCCAAGCGACUGUUUACCAAAAACACAAGUCUCUGCUAAGUUGAAAAACGAAGUAUAGGGGCUGACACCUGCCCGGUGCUGGAAGGUUAAGGGGAAGGGUUAGGAGAAAUCCGAAGCUCUGAACUUAAGCCCCAGUAAACGGCGGCCGUAACUAUAACGGUCCUAAGGUAGCGAAAUUC